UACGGGGGGAGCAAGCGUUGUUCGGAUUUACUGGGCGUAAAGGGCGCGUAGGCGGCCACCGCAAGUCGAUUGUGAAAUCUCCGGGCUUAACCCGGAAAGGUCAACCGAUACUGCGGGGCUAGAGUGCAGAAGGGGCAACUGGAAUUCUCGGUGUAGCGGUGAAAUGCGUAGAUAUCGAGAGGAACACCUGCGGCGAAGGCGGGUUACUGGGCUGACACUGACGCUGAGGCGCGAAAGCUAGGGGAGCGAACGGG
rnacentral:rRNA from 1 species